CAGCUACCACACAGCACCGGACACAACCAUUGAAGUUCUGUGGUACAGGCCCUGAUUUAACAAACGGUCUAGUCUCUCAGCUUGAUGAAUCAACACUGUUAUUCCGAUGUACUGCUUAUUACAAGCGUGAGGGACCAAAACACGUUUUUUGUCUUGAAAAUGGAAAGUGGUCCACCCAACCCGUUUGUUUAGAACCUUGUUCGGUUCCCAGGACAAAUCUGCCAAAAGGAAUGCAACAAUCUAUAUUAUAUAUAGAGGAAGGAACGACAACACGAUUCUUUUGUUACAAGGACUGGAGCUGGGGAUUGUAUCGAGAUCAUUUUUUAAAUGUUAGAUGUUUGCAAGGAAAACCAUUUUUUGAUAAAUGUCAGUCUCAUUAACUUCAACUCGGUGGCAGAGGGUGAGAAUCCCACCACAACAUCAAACUAAAACUCCAACCAAAUGAAGAGUUAUUAGAAGCUUUCCAGAGGACAUGAUGUAGCUUUCAUGUUCAUCAAUUAUAACGGUUCUAUUAUGGUCUGUAUUCUCACAUCAUUUAAGAUCACCUUCUCACAUGGUUGAUACAAUUAAAUGUCUUAAAUCAA